GGCACCUGAGCCUCCAUGCAAAACCCCACCGACCAGGAAAACAUCUGAAGAGAUGCACAGGGGUGCCUGGAAGCACGGGAACCAGAACCAGAACGGAGGAAUCCCUUACGAAGAGGCCGGCGCACCCGCUUUCUGUGUAACAGGAAUCAAAACAACCGCUCGUGGGGAAUGUUGUACACCACGCGACCGAGCAGCGGGACGGAGACAUUUAAUCCGUUUUUAAUGCUGUCUUGCCAGCCGUUAUGCACUUCAUCAGCAGUUUCCUGCACCACACGCUGUGCAACGUGUGUUUGUUUUUUUUGUUUUUUUUUCCGGGCUUUUUUUUUCUAAUGCACUAGCCUUGUCAAUGUCGUUUUAACGUUUGGAUGACAAUUACAGAUUAUUUAUUAUAGACUACGAAUAGUGUCGUUAGACGUUGGUUCGUCCUUGUAGUUUCAUAUUAGGACUUUGCUGCUGUUUUUAAUAUUUGUUGUUUUAUAUUUCCUUGUUGUUUUAUCGAUAUAUUAAAAUACAUUCAAUAAUAUAUUCUACUUUUCGAUAAAAGCUUCUUUGGAGGAGGCCUACCAAGAAAUUAUAUUAUAAUAAAAUUAUAAAGUUAUAAUUAUGUAAUUGCUCAAAUUGUCUCCGACAGGUCUUUCGCAUGUGAAAUCAAGAUUUUGGAGCAUAUUUUUUUAGACCUGGUCACAUAUCUGUUACGUGUUUUAAUUAUAUGACUCUUAGAAGUCAUAUUUAAAGAGACCCCAACUGCAUGUAAAAUACUUUACGCACUUAUUAUUGCAUGUGUAUACGCGAUGUAGCCUAUUGUUGUUCUUAGAAAGUUUCAGGAUGAGUUCUGGUUUACUUGGCUGGAUUACAGCUGUCAACCGCGCUAAAGAUAUAUUCCAUAAUCCGGGAUUAUAUGAACCACAACACUUCUCAUUUAGUCAUAAAUGAUAAAUACCGCAAACCGCGAACGGACUAGAUUACAAUGUAUUUGACAUAGGCCUACUAUAUAAAUGUGCUUUGUAAAGUUAUAAUGAGAAGGUUUUCCGUGACAUUGAUUUUCUGACUACGAAGUGUUCGUUUUUCUAUAAUUUAAAUACAUUGUAUUAUUCUUGUUCUUUUGUUGCUGUUACCUGAAAUUAAAUAUGUCCUCAAUA